rnacentral:rRNA from 1 species
GACGAACGCUGGCGGCGUGCUUAACACAUGCAAGUGGAGCGACGAACCAGGGCUUGCCCUGGGGCAGAGCCGCGAACGGGUGAGUAACACGUGGGUAACCUACCUAGAUGACCGGGACAACCCGAGGAAACUCGGGCUAAUACCGGAUGUGCUCCUUCCCUUCAAGGGGAUUGAGGAAAGAUAGCUUCGGCCUUCGCAUCUAGAUGGGCCCGCGGCCCAUUAGCUUGUUGGUGAGGUAACGGCUCACCAAGGCGACGACGGCUAGCUGGUCUGAGAGGACGACCAGCCACACUGGGACUGAGACACGGCCCAGACUCCUACGGGAGGCAGCAGUGGGGAAUCUUGCGCAAUGGGCGAAAGCCUGACGCAGCAACGCCGCGUGGGGGAUGAAGGCCUUCGGGUUGUAAACCCCUUUCAGCAGGGACGAAUUUGACGGUACCUGCAGAAGGAGCCCCGGCCAACUACGUGCCAGCAGCCGCGGUAAUACGUAGGGGGCGAGCGUUGUCCGGAUUUAUUGGGCGUAAAGAGCUCGUAGGCGGCUUGGCAAGUCGGGUGUGAAACCUCCAGGCUCAACCUGGAGACGCCACUCGAUACUGCUAUGGCUAGAGUCCGGUAGGGGACCACGGAAUUCCUGGUGUAGCGGUGAAAUGCGCAGAUAUCAGGAGGAACACCGGUGGCGAAGGCGGUGGUCUGGGGCCGGCACUGACGCUGAGGAGCGAAAGCGUGGGUAGCAAACAGGAUUA